UACGGAGGGUGCAAGCGUUACUCGGAAUUACUGGGCGUAAAGCGCACGCAGGUGGCUGAGUCAGUCGAUUGUGAAAGCCCUGGGCUUAACCUGGGAAUUGCAGUCGAUACUACUCAGCUAGAGUAUGGGAGAGGGUAGUGGAAUUCCCGGUGUAGCGGUGAAAUGCGUAGAUAUCGGGAGGAACAUCAGUGGCGAAGGCGGCUACCUGGCCCAAUACUGACACUCAGGUGCGACAGCGUGGGGAGCAGACAGG
rnacentral:rRNA from 1 species